rnacentral:rRNA from 1 species
AACGAACGCUGGCGGCAGGCUUAACACAUGCAAGUCGAACGCCCCGCAAGGGGAGUGGCAGACGGGUGAGUAACGCGUGGGAAUCUACCUAGUCCUACGGAACAACAGUUGGAAACGACUGCUAAUACCGUAUACGCCCCACGGGGGAAAGAUUUAUCGGAAUUAGAUGAGCCCGCGUAAGAUUAGCUAGUUGGUGGGGU